CAUGGUCGUACAGAAGGUUCUUAAGUUCUCAUGAAUUGCAGGUAACAAUAAAAUGCGUGAUAGCAUUUAGUACAAGUUAUUGGUUUCCAAGCUCGACUUAGCUGAGUUUCAUAUAACUCCGUGACUCAGCCCAGCGUUUAAGAAAUUGGUUAAAAGCACCAAUCUGAUUGUAAAGAGAUGCAAGGAAACCAUGAAAAAAAUUGAGGAAAAUAGAGAAAAAAGAUGCUAGGGGCAUGUAGCUUCAAUCUAAUAAUUAAAUACAUGUGUUAGGUGGGUAUAUGCAAACGUGAUUAUCAUUUUGCCUUUCCUAUAUUAUUUUUGCAGGUUAGGCAGGAUUUCUUGGCAAUCACAUGCUUUGCUGCUGUUUUUUUCCUUGCUCUGCUGCUUUUAAGCUUUGCCGUUUGGUCUUUCAGCAAUUGUGCUCUCAGGUUUGGCUAAAUUUUCAAUUCAAACUAAAAUUAGCUGCCUUUGUUGAAUCUCUGAUCAAUUCCUCGUCAAAGGUUUCUCAACCCUUGGAGUGGAGAACUACAAUAGGCACUUACAUUCUUUUAACUUCCAGGUCCAUCUAUAAAAUGAGAUUCGUAGUUGAUUGAUCCAUUGUAUGGAAAUCGAUUAGGUGGUGGCCUUAGAUUCAAGUACUUUAGACUCUGUUGCAUCUGCUUUUGUAACCAUUGGUGGAAAUAGUGAAGGGUGGGAAGCUAAUCUUCUCAUUUGAUGCAACAAAGAAAGCUCGCUUUGGUGUACUCCCAUGAUAUGCAAAAGAUGAGCUUCAAAUCAGAUGUUAUUUAUAUUCUUAGGUGGGAAGCGCCUUGUUCUCGUGGGUCUAGGAGAUGAUGAUCAAUGCAUUGAGGGAGCUUCACACGCCAUCUCCGCAAAGUUAUAAUUUAAAGUGUUAGCCUUUACUGUAGCUUAUUUUGUAAAUUGAUUUUGCAAUGAAACAUCUUCUAGCACAUUAUUUUCUUAUGUUUUUCUUUGGAUUAAUCUCUAUUUUGAUGGAAUGUAAUAAACUUCUGUUAAUUUAUUUCCCUUGAUCUUAAAUUUUGUGUGUUUAUCUGGGUUUAAAAUUGUUCCUAAAAUUCCGUCUUAAAAUCUGACCAUUGGCAACGUUAAGAAGGUUUAAAACCGUUUUUAAAAUUUCAUUCUUAAAAUAUGACCGUUGGCACCAGAACGGUUUAAAACCGUUCCUAAAAUUCCAUCUAUGAAAUUGGAAAC